UCCUCUUUCCUUCCCAAGCACGGAGGAGGCCCCAGCUCCCUAGGGGCUGAGAAGCUGGAGUCCUGGGGAAGGGGAGGAGCUGAGCCAUACUCUUGCAAGACCCCCGCCCUCCUCCCCCCGCAGGAAGCAUGAACAGAAAAGACAGCAAGAGAAAGUCCCACCAGGAAUGCACCGGAAAGACAGGAGGGCGGGGCCGACCCCGCCAAACGCGCCGCCACAAGACAUGCCCCAGCCCCCGGGAAAUCAGCAAGGUCAUGGCUUCCAUGAACCUGGGCCUGCUGAGCGAGGGCGGCUGCAGCGAAGAUGAGCUGCUGGAGAAAUGCAUCCAGUCCUUCGAUUCAGCUGGCAGCUUGUGCCACGGGGACCACAUGCUCAACAUGGUGCUGGCCAUGCACAGCUGGGUGCUGCCCUCCGCCGACCUGGCUGCCCGCCUGCUGACCUCGUACCAGAAGGCCACAGGGGACACCCAGGAGCUGAGACGGCUGCAGAUCUGUCACCUGGUCAGGUACUGGCUGACCCAACACCCUGAGGUGAUGCACCAGGACCCCCAGCUGGAAGAAGUCAUAGGUCGUUUCUGGGCCACCGUGGCCCAGGAGGGCAACUCGGCCCAGAGGAACCUCAGAGACUCCUCUAACCUCCUGAGCCCUGGUGGCCCUGGCCCCCCGCCCCCCAUGAGCAGCCCAGGCCUGGGCAAAAAGCGCAAAGUGUCCCUGCUUUUCGAUCACCUGGAGACGGGGGAGCUGGCUCAGCACCUCACCUACCUGGAGUUCCGGUCCUUCCAGGCUAUCACGCCCCAGGACCUGCGGAGCUACGUUUUGCAGGGCUCAGUACGAGGCUGCCCAGCCCUGGAGGGCUCUGUAGGUCUCAGCAACAGCGUGUCCCGCUGGGUGCAGGUGAUGGUGCUGAGCCGUCCCGGGCCUCUGCAGCGCGCACAGGUGCUGGACAAGUUCAUUCACGUGGCACAGAGGCUCCGCCAGCUGCAGAAUUUCAACACGCUGAUGGCGGUCACGGGGGGCCUGUGUCACAGUGCCAUCUCCAGACUCAAGGACUCCCAUGCCCACCUGAGCCCUGACAGCACCAAGGCCCUGCUGGAGCUCACUGAGAUCCUUGCCUCCCACAACAACUACGCCCGCUACCGCCGCACCUGGGCUGGCUGCACGGGCUUCCGGCUGCCUGUACUGGGUGUGCACCUCAAGGAUCUGGUGUCCCUGCAUGAAGCACAGCCCGACAGGUUGCCUGACGGCCGCCUGCACCUACCCAAGCUGAACAACCUCUACCUGCGGCUACAGGAGCUGGUGGCCCUCCAAGGGCAGCAUCCGCCCUGCAGCGCCAACGAGGAUCUGCUGCACCUGCUCACGCUCUCCCUGGACCUCUUCUACACGGAAGACGAGAUCUAUGAGCUUUCUUAUGCCCGGGAGCCACGCUGUCCCAAGAGUCUGCCACCCUCCCCCUUCAACGCACCUCUGGUGGUGGAGUGGGCCCCUGGUGUGACCCCCAAGCCGGACAGGGUCACGCUGGGUCGGCACGUGGAGCAGCUGGUGGAGUCCGUGUUCAAGAAUUAUGACCCUGAAGGCCGAGGAACCAUCUCUCAGGAGGACUUUGAGCGACUCUCAGGCAAUUUUCCCUUCGCCUGCCAUGGCCUCCACCCGCCCCCACGCCAGGGGAGAGGCUCCUUCAGCAGAGAGGAGCUGACAGGGUAUCUGCUCCGGGCCAGCGCCAUCUGCUCCAAGCUGGGCCUGGCCUUCCUGCACACCUUCCAUGAGGUCACCUUCCGAAAGCCUACCUUCUGUGACAGCUGCAGUGGCUUUCUCUGGGGUGUCACCAAGCAAGGCUACCGCUGUCGGGAGUGUGGGCUGUGUUGCCACAGACACUGCAGAGACCAAGUGAAGUUGGAAUGUAAGAAGAGGCCAGGGGGCAAGGGCGAUGCAGGGGCCCCUGGAGCUCCUGUUCCAUGCACACCAGCUCCCCAUGCCAGCUGUGGCUCCGAGGAAAAUCUCUCCUACACGCUAUCCCUGGAACCUGAGACUGGGUGCCAGCUUCGCCAUGCCUGGACCCAGACUGAAUCCCCACACCCUUCCUGGGAAACAGAUACGGUCCCCUGCCUGAUAAUGGGCCCACCAUCAACUGCAUCCUCCAAGCCGGAUUCCUAGACAUCUCUUGGUCUCCUCUCUCCCUCACUCCCUUACCCCAGUCAGUCCUGACUCCUGUCGUCAGACUCUGGCAGGGCUCCCAGAGUCUCACUCUGUCACCCAGGCUGGAGUGCAAUGGUGCAAUCUCAGCUCACUGCAACCUCCGCCUCCCAGGAUCAAGCGAUUCUUCUGCCUCAGCCUCCCAAGUAACUGGGAUUACAGGCACGCGCCACCAUGCCCGGCUAAUUUUUGUAUUUUUAGUAGAGACAGGGUUUCCCCAUGUUGGCCAGGGUGGCCUUGAACUCCUGACCUCAUGAUCCACCAGCCUCAGCCUCCCAAAGUGCUGGGAUUACAGGUGUGAGUAUCUCGUUGAACGUCUGUCUUUCCUCAACAGGAACAUCAACUCCAGGAGAGCAGGGAUUUCUAUCAGUGUGUUUCACUGCUGCAUCCCCAGUGCCUAGAACAGGGCUGGCAGGUGGUAGGCGCCUGACCGAUGCUUGUCUGAUGCCUGAAAUGUCUCCUUACCCAUGCCCACGGCACAGGAAAGAUGUGCUGUAGGGCAAAGAACUUUGAGGGUCAGAGCAGCAGGGGCCCAGUCAGACCCAGGGAGCAGAGACCCCCCCAACCCUUUCACAAACCCCAGCACCCCUGCCUGGGCCCCCACAGAGAGAAGUCCUACAGCUGUCAUAAAUUAAAUUUAUUCUCCGGAGAA